rnacentral:rRNA from 1 species
CAGUCGCCGCGGUAAUACAGAGGGUGCGAGCGUUAAUCGGAUUUACUGGGCGUAAAGCGUGCGUAGGCGGCUUUUUAAGUCGGAUGUGAAAUCCCCGAGCUUAACUUGGGAAUUGCAUUCGAUACUGGUUAGCUAGAGUGUGGGAGAGGAUGGUAGAAUUCCAGGUGUAGCGGUGAAAUGCGUUGAGAUCGGAAAGAACACCAACGGCGAAAGCACUCUGCUGGGCCGACACUGACACUGAGAGACGAAAGCUAGGGGAGCAAAUGGGAUUAGAUACCCCAGUAGUCCCUGUCUCUUAUAC